rnacentral:rRNA from 1 species
AUUGAACGCUGGCGGUAUGCUUAAGACAUGCAAAGUCGAACGGUAACAGGUUAAGCUGACGAGUGGCGGACGAGUGAGUAACGCGUGGGAAUCUACCUUGUAGUGGGGGAUAAGCCAGGGAAACUUGGACUAAUACCGCAUACGCCCUAAGGGGGAAAGGCGCAAGUCGCUAUAAGAUGAGCCCGCGUCUGAUUAGGUAGUUGGUGGGGUAAAGGCCUACCAAGCCGACGAUCAGUAGCUGGUCUGAGAGGAUGAUCAGCCACGUCGGGACUGAGACACGGCCCGGACUCCUACGGGAGGCAGCAGUCGGGAAUAUUGGACAAUGGGGGAAACCCUGAUCCAGCAAUACCGCGUGUGUGAAGAAGGCCUGCGGGUUGUAAAGCACUUUCAGUUGGGAAGAUAAUGACGUUACCAACAGAAGAAGCACCGGCUAACUCCGUG